rnacentral:lncRNA from 1 species
GCGGAGGCAGCUUUUCCUCAUGGGACAGGCGUCUUCCAGGGUUCCUGCUCCUGUCCAGGUGGCCGUGCUUGGCUCUAGCUCGGAUGGGCCCAAGUCAGGUGACAUAGCUCCUCCCGAUGUCCCUCCAGCCCAUGGGAGGUGGAGCUCCCUGCUUCUGCCUGUCUCCAGGCGCUGAACCAAGCCUGCCUGUUUUCUCACUGUCCAUCACCGUGUCUCCAAGCCCCUGGACUGGAUACCCUGUGUUUCAGCUUCCUUAGAGUGACUUUUGAUGUCUUCCCUGGACUCCAGACUUCCACUUAGAAGCAGCAGGAGUGCUUAGAAUCCACAGACCUCCCCUAGUCCUGUGUGAGUUACGUUUCCUCUGCCAGGAAGAGGAAACAUAGAGCCAGGUGACUUCUUCCAUUGUCCUUUAUUUUUAUUCAUUCAUAUAUUCAGCCCGACUGGCUGAGCACCCAUAAUGCGUCUAUGUGAUGCCAUCUGGGAGCUUUUAAAGAGUUUAUUAAUAGUUUACACAAAAAGUGCUUACGGGGUGCAUGGGUGUAACCCACAGACUAGUGGGAUUGGAGCACAGAUGGUGCUGUGUGUGGGUACUGAGGCCAGCCAGCGGGGAGGGGUCCAGCUGCUGACCAGGGACCCCUGAAGCCACUGGGCAAGGCAGAGCGAGCACCCUGGGCAGAGCCAGGGCUGUCUCAGCAGGACCGGCCAAAUGAGCGAGUGAGUGCUCCUUCCUCCUUCCCAGAACAUGGGUGGCUUUGAACAGGAGGCAGGCACGAUCUGCGGCUGCCGUCUGUGCAGGCAGAGAGCAGCUCUUGGUGGGCCUAUUCAUUCUGUUUGACACAGCAGAGGGACAGUGCUCUUUGAAGACUCUGUUGGGGAUCGUGAGAGGUGGAUUAAGGGUCUCCCCAAAGAUGUCCACACCCUCAUCCCUGAAACCUGCGACUGUGUCACCUUACAGGGUUACAGGGACUCGCAAAUGAGCUGGAGAGAUUUUCCUGGGUAUUCUGUGUGGGACCAAUGUCAUCCCCAGGGCCCUUAGAAGAGGGAGGCAGGAGGGCUGGAGGCAGAGGAGGAGAGGCGACCAGGGAAGCGGAGGUCGGAGGGAUGGAGGGCGGGAGUCAGGAACGUGGGCACCUCUGGAAGCUGGAAGAGGAAAGGAAAUGGAUUUCCCCCCGCACCCUGGAGCCUCCCUGGGGACAAAGCCCUGGUGACACCUGAGUUUAGCUCCGUGAGACCUGUUUCAGACUCCUGACCUCCGGGACUGUAAGUUUGACCAAGGAGCUUAUGUUUUUAAGUCAUGGAAUAAAACAUGGAUUACUAUUGUGGGUUGAACUGCAUCCCCCAAAAAGAUCAGUGGAGGUCCUAGAAACACAGGACUUCAGAAUGUGACUGUGUCUGAAGACAAGGUCAUUGCAGAUGUAAUUGUUAAGAUGAAAUCAUACUGGAGCAGGCUGGGCCCACUCCAGUACGACCGAUGUCAUCAUAAGAGAAGAGACACAGAGACUCCACGUGGAGACAGAGGCGGAGAUGGGAGCAAUGUGGCCACAAACCCAGGGUUGCCACAACCAGCAGAAACUAGGAGGAGGCGAGGCAGGAGCCUCCCCUGCGCCUCCAGAGAGAGCCUGGCCCUGCCAAUACCGUGAUUUCGGACUUCUUUUAACCUCCAGAAUUGUGCAAGAAUAAAUGUUGCUUGUUUUGAGCCACCCAGCUUGUGGUCCUCAGUUACAACAGUCCCAGGAAACUAAUACAUCUAGUAAAUAAAAUGAGAGCGGUUUCUCUGCAUGAACUGAAAUGAUGGCGGGCUCUGCAGGGACAGUUCGCAGACAUCUGCAAACAAAUACUGUCCAAACCGUGGUAAACAGCCGUCUUUUAUUUCGGCGAAAGCCUUUGGGCCAGUUUUCGUAUGUUGUUGGAAGCACUAAAUCUCUCGCUGGCAGAGAUCUGCAAGCAGCUACAAGCCAGCGGCUCACCUGCAGCAAAACGCCUGGAGGCAGGUCCAUGCAAUGCCCACGUCUUGCAUGUCAUUGUGCAGUUAAACAGCUCCUGAACCAGAGAGCAGCUGCGCCCAGACAGCUUCCCGGGUGGUAAGAACUGUAUUUGACCUCCUGGCAGCACAAACGACUGAAUAACAAUUAAACAAAACAGGACAGUCUCCGUGUUUCAAAAUGCGCAUUUAAACCUAAAAGAAACACGGUGUGUUUACUUUCUGAGCCUGGCCUUCCCUGGGUGCACAGUGAGCCACUUCUGAAAGCGUAUGGGCACACCCGCUACAGAAACCAGCUUACACUGGCUCGGUUGCCAGUCCUGGGGCAUUUCAGAAGAAUUGAGUCAGAAAGGUGUUUUCUGUGGGUGAUUCAAAGGCUCCAGGUCUCCAGAAAUUUGUUGCAUGAAAUGGAGAAUAAGUAGGCUCGGGCUCGGACUUGGCCGCGUGCAGCUUCAGGGGUGAAGCUGCUUGGAGGCCAGGGGCCAGCCCCAGUGCUUGGAUGCUGGGGUGCAGAUCCGGGAAUGGGAUGAUAGCCAGGUGGAAAGGGGGAGGUGGCUCCUGGGUCUUGGAGAAGAGGGUGAGAAUAUAACCAAAGAUUUGUCUGAAAGCCAGACAGUGGAGAGUCAGCUUGGCUGUGAAUCAUACCUAGUUUGAGCAUAAAGAUGAGAAGUGAAAACAGAGAUGGGGAGGUAAAAAAGGAGGGGGAGGUGAACAGAGAGGCUUAGGUCCCCAUCGAUAACAGUAGCUAAUGACACGUGAACACGGGAUCUCUUUGCUUGCUUUUCUUUUUUUUUUUUUUUUUAAGACAGGGUCUUGCUCUGUCACCAAAGCUGGAGUGCAGUGGCACAAUCAUGGCUCACUGCAGCCUCAACCUCCCGGGUUCCAGUGAUCCACCCAUCUCAGCCUCCAGAGUAGCUGGGACUACAGGGGUGCACCACCAUACCUGGCUAUUUUUAGUAUUUUUUGUAGAGACGGGUUUUUUUGCCAUGUUGCCCAGGCUGGUCUCGAACUCCUGGGUUUAAGUGAUCUGCCUGCCUCAGCCUCCCAAAGUGCUGGGGGAUUACAGGUGUGAGCCACUGCAUCUGGCCAAGGGAUAUCUUUUGAGAUCUUCUUGCCCCAGAGCUUAAUUUCAGAAUCCAGCGUGAUUGUUAAAGAAGAAAAUAAACGGGCUUUUUCUAUUUUACCUGGAGCAUGUCACCAGGACAAUUUUCAUCCAAAGACCUAGUUCAAUGGGGCUCCUUCCCCAAGCUCCCCACACACGCUCCGGGAAUCGAUUUUUUUUACAGUUGUCUGAAGUGCAAGUCAAGCUUUUGCACACACACUCUCUCUCUUUCUCUUUUUCUCUGUCUUAAAUUGCCAGAAAUGUACAAUUUUCCUAAUGGAGAGUUUAUUUCAGGCUCAUCAAGAUAAAAUAAAUUCCGCUGGUGUGCAGCCGGCCAGGCGCAGGGCAGAGCGGCGGCAAGCGGCCCGCGGGCAGAGGGGGCAGCGAGGGUCCAUGCUCAGCGUCUGAACGUUACAUUGGCAUCUGGGGAGGGGGGGGGCUCCAUGUGUGGUCACGUGAACUCCGAGAACGAACCUGGCUGAGCACAGUCGACCUUGUCACUGUCAUGACCCAAGGUGUCCUCUGUGACUGGACAUGGGGCGGGGUGCGUUACGUAGAUGACUCGUUAAGCUCUAGUGGCUAACUCAGUGCGUCCAUGAAGGCUGUGCGGAGAUGCGGCCGGCAGAAGGCAAACAUAGAUGACGCUGGGGAUAUCGGUGUAAAUACGGGUAUGGCCAGUUGGUCGAUACAGAAGGGUUUGUUUGAAGGCCUUCGCUCACACGAUUGUGGCUGCUGGCAAAUCCAAAAUCUAUAAGGCAGGCUGGCGGCUGGAGCCUCAGGCAGGAUUUCUACGAGGCAGAAUUUCUCCUCCUUCGGGAAACCUGCUUCCCCUCGGAAGGCCUUCUGUGGGCUGCGUGAUGUGCUCCCACAUGCUCAGGGGCAAGCUCCUUUAUUGGCUGUAGGCAUCGGCCACAUCCCCAAAACACCUGCCCAGCAACCCUGAGAUGACUGCUUGGGUUCGUCUCCAGGUACGCUAAGCCUGCCCACAUAAAACUGACUGCCACACACUGACGUUCUCCGGUGAGAGAUGGGAGACUCAGAGAGGCCACUUCCUUUGCCAGGGUUGUAGAGCAAUGGAAGGGCUUGAGUGGUCAGGUCUUUGGGUCUCAUUGCCUGUGGUUCUAAACUAGCAGAGUGUGGAAUGCCUCGGCUUCCACUGACCCUGUGGCCCCGGCAGGGCCUCCACCAUCAGGACCGCCGAGCACGCCCUCCUGCCAGGAGCGACGUCCUCCUUCCUGAGAAGUUUCUCGUGGGUGGGAGGGAUGGGAACCGGACUCUUGACACCUCCCUGGUGCCCCAGCCCCACCCUCGCAAGGCGGACCACCCAGAAGGUUCUUCCGGCCCCUUUUCCAAAGCCCUCCUGCCUCACUUAACCCAGCCCAGGUUAACUGAUGACUGUGGGAAGAGAUGUUUCCAGCAGCACACUGUCUUGUAAUCCAAGGGGCCCUGGAAAAAGGGGUUUCGCAGCGGCACUGUGGUCUCAGAGUCCAUGCGAGAGGAAACACAUCUGUCCCUGUAUUUUCCGCAGACACCCCCCCUCGCCUCCCCCACGUCCCCACAGGCUGUCAUAUUGUUUCCAGUUGUGUUUAUGGUAAACUCAGGCCAUAACACGCCUCUGUCGUUGUAAAAGAUGGAAAGAGUCUUAGGAGAGAAAUUUUCAUCCCAGGCCUUUCAAGCGGCAUUUUCCCGGUGGUAGAGGUGAAUGGGAAACAUGAAGCAGCUGCCUGCAGGAACGUUUUUCCCUCUGUGGCAAGGAUAAACAGUGAAAGGCGUUUGCUGAAGAUGGAAAGAGACACUGUGCAAACCAAUAUGCACAGCUCCUGAGGCCUGUGCUGGGGGCCGUGGCUUGCUGACGUCUCUCCAAAUACGCAAGUCAGAGAAGGGCUGACUCACAGGUCAUGGAUUGCAAAAAAUAUGGCACAAGCCUGACUUCGAACUUUCAAAGGGACAAGGACGUGCACGCCACAGCCACAGCCCCAGACCAGGGUGUAGGCCGUGGGGCUCCAGCUCCCUUCUGGGCAUCACUGCUGUGUGUCCUUGGGAGAGUGUCUCCGCCUCUCUGGCACCUCCCUUCACUCUGGAAACCUGUCCAUCAGGCCAGGGGACUGGGGUGGCGUGCGGCCUACCUCCUCCCACCUUCCGAGCCCAACCCCAAAACUGGAUAAGCAGUCAGCUUGCACUCUGAACCCAGAACUGAAACGAGGAUUAAGCUUCGCUUUGUGCGUGCCACAAACCAGACACCACAUCCAACCUCCGGCUCUAGGGCCAGGAACUCCAAUCACCAAGCAUUUUUGGAAAACCAAAUCAAAGCUAGAUGGCUUUUCUAACAUGUUAUAUUGUAUUAAAGAUUGAAAAUGACAUUGAGAAGUAAAAAUAAAUUGGAAAUAACUGGAAAAAUCUAAAUGUCCAGUAACAUUGGGGGAUUCAUUAAAAAUUCUGACCCAAUGGAACGUCGACGAGCCACCACAAUGACCUUUUUAAAGAAUGUUCCCUGCUGGGCAAAGAUGCUCAUGAAAUCUUACUUGAAAAAUAAAGUAGGCCAUGGAAAGGUAUGUACAGUAAGAUCACACUUAGGAAAUUAUAUAUAAUCGGGGUGCUCAGGCUUUCAGAAAAAAAACCAGAAGAGGCACACAGAGUCACAGGGCACAGAGUCUGGGUGGCGGGCCCCUAUGAGAUUUUCACUCUCUCUAUGUAUGCGUAUUUUGUGUGUUAUACAUUUUAUAUAAUGAGUGUAUUAAUUCUGUGAUCAGAAGGAAGUCAGUGUUUUUGUGUUUUGUGUGUGUGUGUCUCAAGGCAGCAUUAUAAAAGGGACUAGGUCAUCAGCUUCCUCAGCUACCCCACGGCAAACCGCCCUUGUUCUUUUUUUAACUUACAACAGCUCAGAAGCCAAACUUCAAACUGCUCUCGUCAAGGGUUUUUUCCUUCACACUAAGAGCCAGAGACAUAGCAAGGAACCCGGCCCUGAAGCAGUGGGCACAGGCUGCUGACCGGCUCCGCCCUGCCUCUGGGACCCUGGGCAGGCUGCUUGACCUCUCUGGCCUCAGUUUUCCGAACUGUGAAAUGGGAGCAUUAAUGACAGGAUCAACCCCUGGGAAGCGCGGGUAGGGUUAUAUAAUGAGAACACCGGAUCCAUAUGAAGAUUACUGUUUCUCCCCGCCUCGCAUCUCCAUUUGGGCCGGCCACAUUUCAGGUGCUGAGCGACUGCCGGGGCCAUCACACAGGCCAGCCAGAGAUACCAUCAGAUCCAGCAGGCGGGGCACCCGGCUCACACCAGAACUCCAUUCACCAAACCUGAAUCUCACCUACCAGGCACUGCUUGUGUAUGUGAUGGCAGGAGCAGAGGCAGCAAUCAUGAGCGUGAGAGGACAGCUGGCCCAGGCCAAGUCAACAGGCUGGAAAUGGCACAGCAGAAAGAAGAAAUGAAUCCAGAGCCUCGAUGAAGUUCUGAGUUUCCAAAGAAACCAACCCUGGAACCGUCCCAGCUGCAGAAUUUCUCCUUCUAGAAAAUGAUACAUCCCUUCUCUGUUGAAGGCAUUUCCAGUCAAGUCUUCUGUUACCUGCAGCCUGAAGCAUUCUAAUCUACAGAGAGCCCACUCCUAGAUUCUUCCUGGAUCUGGUUUGUAAGAAUUACUCAGAUUUAAUGACUUUGAGCCAUGAAAUGAUGGAGAAACAACUUUCCUGGGCAAAAAAGGGAAGAGGUACCAGCUCUCCCCUUCUCUUGUCCCAAACCCAACGGCUUUAGCCCAAAGGGCAGAGGAAAAAGUGUGGAGCAGACGAAGCCCAGGAGCUUGAGCACUGGAUGCACUGCAUUUAAUUUCCGAGUGCCACUUGUCCAUUCACAGGCGCAAACCCCAACCCACAGGAGAUGCUGGCUACUUUAUGGUUGCUUAGCAACCAGUGAUCACCCUUCUCCUGAACUGCAGUGCCCAACUUUACUUUUGGGGGACCUCCUCUACCCAAUUCUCAGUAAAGUUAGCUCAGAGACGUCUGACUUCUUCCUGGCUAAUCAGGAUACCCCAUCCCUCUGGAAACAGUGGAUGGUUCAGAACUAGGCACACGACCUGAGCCAGUCCAAUGAGACUCCACCUCGGUCCUUGCAGGGCAGUCUGUGAAGGGUGAAGCCAAGACAGCGAGAGGCAGGGCCAGGAGCUGGAGAAUGGCUCAGGCUUAAAAGUACAGCUGGAUCUCAGCUUUUCAAUUCUGCGAGCCAGUGAAUUUCUCCCUUUCUUUUCAUAAUCCCGCGCAGCUUGGUGUUCUACCUUACCUAUCCAAAGGAAUCUUAAGUGAGGCAGCUCCCCCAUGAGGGACACUGACCCAGACGCUGGGAAUUGGAUUCAGCUUGCACCCCCUCAAGACCGUGCAUUAAGACCAAGGUGCAUUUCUUAUGUAUAGCAUGGUAGAUUGUGGUAGUGAUAAUGUGGUUCCCCAUAAAAUUCCUUGUUUCCUUCUGGUAAUGGAGCCCCUCUUUCUUCCAGGGAGCUGUACCAUGUAGUAGAGAUGAGGUUCAAUGAAUCUUCCCUCCCACACCCUCCCACACUCACCCAAAGAGUCCAAGACCAUGGCCUGUCCAAUUGGAACUAAUCCAUCCAGAGCGGCUGGUUUAGGGGUGAGCCCAUGACCCAAACCGGGCCACUCAUACUGCUUCAUGGGACUUUUGCCAAAACACAUGGAAGGAAGGGUCUUUCUUAAAAGGUGCUCUCAGCUUGACAUUGCUGGGGCCGUGUUUGCCAAACUGGGGGAAGCCUUGAAGAGAAGGACGCCGCACAGAGGAAAGUGGGGGCACAAAUGUGCGUCCUCGUUUUCCAGAGCCAGCCUCUGCCAAAGCGUCACCCUUUAUACUCCCAGAUGCAGGAAACUUGUUUAGUGUAAGCCAAUUUGAGUUGGAUUUUUGUCACUUACUAACAAGACUCCUAACGAAUGCAUUCAAU